rnacentral:rRNA from 1 species
GCAAGUCGAGGGAUCGGCUGUCCUUCGGGACAGUACGGACCGGCAAACGGGAGAGUAACACCUUGGUAACCUACCUUUAAGACGGGAAUAACUACGAGAAAUCAUAGCUAAUGCCCGAUAGUCAUGGGGGGACGAAAGUCAUUCCCAUGUAAAUCCUCCGGGGCUUAAAGAGGGGCCUAGGGCCUAUCAGCUUGUUGGUGAGGUAAAAGCUCACCAAGGCAACGACGGGUAGAGGGCGUGAGAGCGUGACC